UUACAGCACACACUGCCAACAUGCUGGGGAGCCUCUGCACUCUCAUCACUGCUCUAACAUGUGUGAGUGGUGUGACGCUGGUGACACAGAAGCCUCCUGUUGUGGCGCUGACGACAGGACAGACAGCCACCAUGGACUGUAACCUGGGAACUGUUACUGAUUACUCUGCUCGCUGGUAUAAACAGGUUCCAGGAGGAGUUCCUCAGCAUGUACUGAGGUUUCGCCACGACUGGAGCUCUGUGAGAUAUGGCUCUGGAUUCUCCUCUCCCAAAUUCACAUCUAAUCAUCAGUCACAAACAGAUUAUCGUCUGAUCAUCAACAAUUUGGAGGAGGAAGACUCAGCCAUCUAUUACUGUACAACAUGGGACGGCUCUGUCAAUGAGUUCGUAUCACAGUGA